UGAUGCUUGUGUAGCUGCUGGGACCGCCCUUUCUGGCUAGCGCCCUCUUAGUUCACCAUGAAAAAAAUGCUGAUUGUUGAGGAAAGGGAGCAGCCUUGCAAGUAGUGUAAGUAGUAGCCGUGCACCUCUGGUUAAUUAAUUUCUGUGCAUUAUUGUCAACUUAUUGAUUUUGUAAUAUCUUGUCGAACUUGAGCUGUCCCGUCGUUGUUUCUGAAUGCUACAUCGGUGUUUCUAUUGCCACUGUGUUCCAAUUAUGCUUUUGGUGGCAUGUGGCACAUAUUUGGUUGGUUAAAAUGAGGACCUAACAAUACGUGCACACCCCUACUAAGUGUACAAUAGAAAUAAAUCUCUUUUUUUUCGAAUCGAUAUAGAGAUAACUCUGUAGUUCACUGUCUUUGUCAUUUUAUAUCAGCUUGUCAUUUCAUACCUUCUGUGCGUGUUGCCUGGAAGAGUUAUUGACAAAUCAAAAUAUAAACAGCACAGCCCGUCUAGCUCAGUUGGUAGAGCGCAAGGCUCUUAACCUUGUGGUCGUGGGUUCGAGCCCCACGGUGGGCGACAUUUCUCCUUUUUUUUUCACUCCCCAGGAAUUGAUUUCCAUGUGCAAUGCACGCAGGAACUUCCCUUUGUUCAGGCUGUAUUCAAAUAGUUUUUUUUUCCGAAAUAGUUCUUGUAUUACUCAAUCAUCAGGGAAUGCUAUCACGUUCCGAACCUGGCCCAAGCCACACAGCAGUUUGAACUUGGGAUCUACCAAAAUUUGCCAAAUCAUGACUAGAAAAAUUCUAAGUACAGUGUAUAUGAGUAAUCCUGAUAUAAGUAUCUAGGGAGAACAUGAGGCUUCUCAGAGCUUAGCCACUCUCGGCCGUUGGAUCGAUUUUUUGAUGCGACUUCGUCCGUCCGAUCUCGCUGCUGGACGAUCCUGGCCGUUGGAUCAAAAAAAAGCACUGCUACAAUGAAUAGUUAGCUCUCGCUCGUGCCAUCGCGGGUAAUUUCCUUGCCCCGCCAUGGGCAUUUUCAUAAUUUCACGCACAGGGGUAUAAAAGGGGCUUCUCCCGUGGAGAUAACCCUAGCCCGCUCGCUCCCACACUCGCGCGCGGCCGCCUGCUCCCCACGCCGCCGCCUCCUCUCCCACUCGCCACCCCCUCUCCUCUUCCCCCCGCCUCGCCUCUUUCUCCCCCUCCAAACCCUAGGCCCGCGCCCGCCUCCCUUCCCCGCCGACGGCCGCCGCCGCCGCCGCUCGCCCGGGCACCCAUCCUCGAGCUCAGGCCGCUCAUCUAGAGAGAAGGAGAUGGGGGUUGCGGGCGACGAGGCUGACGCGCCGUCGUCCCCCGUCCGUCGUCCGCCGUUUGCUCGCUCGCCGCCAUCAGAAAGCGUGGUUGUGAGGGUUUGGUGCCAGGGUCGUUGCUGGGUCCGUGGCUGCUGUUCCUUCAUCAGAUUUGGCCGUCCUUCCUCCUGCAUCUCCGGCUAAGAUCUUGCCAAUCAAAAAAAUUGGACCACAAUUGAUGUACCUUAACGCACAAGGAGAGUCUCAUUGCCACUGCUAGAGCACAUCAACCACCCUUUCGUCUCAGUUUUGAUUUGAAGACCACCACGAUCAUUUGAGAUCUGGAUUGUCUGUACAGAUUUUGUUGGUAGUUGGCAGGUCUGGCCCAUCCACAACAUUUUCUAUCUUCUUUACUUGUAUGCUCAUGAUAAUGUUGUUUCAAAUAUUUUAGAUAUUUCUUUGGGAUAUUGCCUUUAUGCAUAUAUAUCUUACAAACUACUGUCCACAUAAGUUAUCGAGAAAUAAGAACCACGGGAGAAUCUCUAGCGGUAAAUAGAAAACUAAUGAUUUGAUCAACAUUCUAUUGAAGGAGUAGAUCAUCGAUGCUUAUGGCUGCGGGGCUCAUGGAGCCAGAAGAGGCUGUCGGUGCCGGCGACCUUGUCGUCUUUGUCUUGUGCAAAGGUAUCAGAUGAGGGUAUUCGAAGAAGACACCAUGAAUUGGUAUUCGAAAAAGAUACCACCUUUCAUUACAUUGGUAUUCAAAAAAUAUACCACCUUAUGGCCUUUCCUGUUUCCUGUGACUUAAGACUUCCAACUCUUUAACUGGGAUAGUAUCAAAAGAAAAUGAUUUAUGUAACUGGGACACAAUAAAGUAAUUUUGUACAACUAUAUUUUUGUGCACUAGAUAAAAUGUUACUCUGUUUGAAAUAGCACACGAUUUCUCCCUGCUUGAAGUAUGGUUUGUGCUCUCUUCCUCCAUCCCGUGUAUGCGAUUGAUGUCCCCCUCUAAUUGUUUGGUGUUGGAGUCUCUGUAUAAUCAGUGCCUCUUUGCUUAAUCUGCUGACGUAUGCUAUUUACAGUUCCUUCCCCGGCUCCUAACUGAUCUUUAGAGUUACUAUUUAUUAGUAUUUUGUGCUACAACAUAAUUAGUGCCCGGCAAACCCUGUUUACCCUCUUAUGUCACUAUUGUCCAUUGUCAUUCUUUUAUGCAUUAUAACUCAGUUUCAUAUAUCCGCUGCAACAUAAUAUUCUCCAUGGGUUGUUGAAUUGUUUUGCUCCAUACAUCCCAAAAAAACACAGCCUAUUUGCAUUACAUGGUUUUGCUACCUCUUAUGAAAUUGCAUUCACUGUGUUAUGCGGAAAAUUUACUUUGGCCACUCUUUUAAGUGUAUAUUUUCAAUUUCAAGUUUUUCUUUGUAUUACUCUUACGAAAACUCGCUGAGUUUUUUCCUGUGAGCCUGACACAUUGUUUAAUAACUGUUAUAGCUUCAUAACUGUUAUACCCUUCUGAUCUUCUCCUUUUCUUAUGUCAGCUAACCAGUGAGGAUAUAUAUAAAAAGGAUACCACCAAUAGCAUAGCACCCUGCUGCUGUAAUUACAUGUACCUGUUUCAUAUAAUUAUAGUUGCAACUAAUAAGGUCAUCGAUUUUAACGAGGUCCAUAAGAUAAUAAUGUCUCCAUUGAGAUGUGCAAUGAAAUAUCGAAGGACCCUAUCCUUUUGUUUGUGGAUGCAUGAAGUAAUGAUGUCUGGCUAUGGGAGUGUCUCUUCGGAUGUUCUAAGGCAGUUUCCUGUGUCUCUGCUAGCUCCGAUUCUAUUGCGCCCUAUUGUCCGACAUAUGUUUAUUUAUGUGUUUGACCCACGUGUUUAGUUAAUGUUGUUAUGCUGUCGAAGGACAAGCAGAUGUUGCAGACUGUAUGUGACCCUAUGUACCCUCUUCAGCCUGGACAGUGCUGAGGAUGAAUACAAACUUAUAUGUAAUCGGGUGGUGCUUGCUUUACUUAAGACGCCCGCUGUUCUAUUUCUGAUUUCUUGCUUGGUCCUGUAGAUAUCUACCAUAUUGUAGUUAAAGUUUCUGAUGUACACAUGUUUCAGCCAUAAACAUGGAAGCAAUUUGUACCUAUAAAGGAUAUUAUCAUUUGUGAUAUCAGGUUUCUACUAC